CUUUAAUUCCAUUGAAACUAAAUGGAUGAAAGAUGAUCAUAGUGCUACGAUGCUUUUAGGGAAACCAGCCCAGAUCCGUACAGUCAUUUAGAGAAAGGGAGAUUUGAAACCAUCUACAGUAUCCUGUGGCUAAGUGGCCAGGACCAGGUCAUUUAACCAGGGCCAGAUCAUUUAACCAGGGCCAGGUCAUUUAACCAGGACCAGAUCAUUUAACCAGGACCAGGUAAUUUAACCAGGGCCAGAUCAUUUAACCAGGGCCAGGUCAUUUAACCAGGGCCAGGUCAUUUAACCAGGGCCAGGUCAUUUAACCAGGGCCAGAUCAUUUAACCAGGGCCAGAUCAUUUAACCAGGACCAGGGCCAGGUCAUUUAACCAGGACCAGGUCAUUUAACCAGGGCCAGGUCAUUUAACCAGGGCCAGGUCAUUUAACCAGGGCCAGGUCAUUUAACCAGGGCCAGGUCAUUUAACCAGGGCCAGGUCAUUUAACCAGGACCAGGUCAUUUAACCAGGGCCAGGUCAUUUAACCAGGACCAGGUCAUUUAACCAGGGCCAGGUCAUUUAACCAGGGCCAGGUCAUUUAACCAGGACCAGGUCAUUUAACCAGGGCCAGGUCAUUUAACCAGAGCCAGGACCAGGUCAUUUAACCAGGGCCAGGUCAUUUAACCAGGGCCAGGUCAUUUAACCAGGGCCAGGACCAGGUCAUUUAACCAGGGCCAGGUCAUUUAACCAGGACCAGGUCAUUUAACCAGGACCAGGUCAUUUAACCAGAGCCAGGACCAGGUCAUUUAACCAGGGCCAGGUCAUUUAACCAGGGCCAGGUCAUUUAACCAGAGCCAGGACCAGGUCAUUUAACCAGGGCCAGGUCAUUUAACCAGGACCAGGUCAUUUAACCAGAGCCAGGACCAGGUCAUUUAACCAGGGCAAGAUAAUUUAACCAGGACC